UUUUGAUUCUCAGAAAAUGAUGGCUUAGCAUUUCUUAUCUCAUUGAUAGGAUCUUGGUUUAAAUCAGAAUCAGUCUAUGAAAAUGGCUUCAAAAUCAUUCAAAGCUAGUAGAUCAUCUCUGUCAACAUCCUCGGAUUUGCCUGAUCCACAGCAUGGGAAACCCCCACUUCCUCCACAUGUGACUUUCCAACGGCGUACUUCUUCCGGACGAUAUGUGAACUACUCUAGGGAUGAUCUUGAUAGUGAACUUAGCAGCAGUGACUAUAUGAACUAUAUGGUACAUCUCCCUCCGACUCCUGACAAUCAGCCCAUGGAUUCUAUUUCUCAGAAGGUCGAAGAGCAGUAUGUAUCCAGUUCACUUUUCACGGGUGGUUUUAAUUCUGUUACACGUGCUCAUCUUAUGGACAAGGUGAUUGAAUCAGAGGCGAAUCAUCCCCAAAUGGCGGGUGCAAAAGGGUCG
rnacentral:misc_RNA from 1 species